rnacentral:lncRNA from 1 species
GACAUAUAUAAACAAGUACAUUCCAGGUCACAUAGGAAGAAACCUGACUCAUCCAUAGUGGGCCUGCUGGCAUUGUGGGCAGAAUGGACACCAGGCAGAUUUCCAGCCCCUUCACCUAUGUUUCCAGAAGUCUUGGGGCGUUCUCUUCUAAAUGGCAGGAAGAAAGAAUAAAAGAGACACUGAUACAGGGCAAUCAUAGCCAGAAUUGCACAAGGAGUCACUGGCAUCCUGCAAAUUCACCUCAAGAGGAAUGUGUUAGAGCUCUCCAAAUGUGCAGGAUACACACACACACACACACACACACUUCAGGUGUUCUGAACACAUUAAUUGCCCCAUGUUGUGACCCCUUUCUAUAUUCUCCUUGUUGCAUGUAUAACUAGAGAGGCCUGCG